GUACACAACACAUCCUGUCAGAAGAAUAAAUUUACUGGAGGAUGAAAAUUUUGAUACCUGGAAUCAGCAAUUUAUAUGAAAUUUGUUAGGAGAAAUAUAUUCAUGUACAGAAUGGUAACCGAGAUGGUUCAAGUGUUUAUUAGCAGACAUUUUUGUUGAACUUAUGCAGGAUCGAUUAAAUGAAACUUAAGCUGACUAUGGGCUCAAUGUGUAGUAAAAAGAGGAUUUUGAAAUAUGCAAGACUCAUCA
rnacentral:lncRNA from 1 species